GACAGAGGCCCCAAGCGUUAGGCGGAAUCACUGGGCUUAAAGCGUGUGUAGGCGGAUGGUUAAGUACCUUGUGAAAUCCCACGGCUCAACCGUGGAACCGCUUGGUAUACUGGUCAUCUUGAGCCACUUAGGGGUUACCGGAACAAAUGGUGGAGCGGUGAAAUGCGUAGAUAUCGGGAGGAACACCUAUGGCGAAGGCAGCUCGCUGGGACGUUACUGACGCUGAGACGCGAAAGCGUGGGGAGCAAACAGG
rnacentral:rRNA from 1 species